GUGCUUAACACAUGCAAGUCGCGUGCGCGUCCGUAGCAAUACGGAUGGCGCACGGCGCACGGGUGCGUAACACGUGGGCAAUCUGCCCUCCGAUGGGGAAUAACCCCGCGAAAGCGGGGCUAAUUCCGCAUAACAUUCCUUGGACUCCGGUUCGGGGACUCAAAGCAGCAAUGCGUCGGAGGAGGAGCCCGCGCCCGAUUAGCUAGUUGGUGAGGUAACGGCUCACCAAGGCAAUGAUCGGUAGCUGGUCUGAGAGGAUGGCCAGCCACACUGGAACUGAGACACGGUCCAG
rnacentral:rRNA from 1 species